UUUUUUUCUAAUCUUUGUGCAAGUGCUGUAACCUUUUUUUUUAAAGUUUUCAUUGAUUGAAGUGGUGCUUAGAUAGAAGAGUGAGUUGUGUUACGGCUAGAAGGGAUAUGUAGCCUUUACUUUUCCUAUUGGGAGAGGAAGUUACGCCUGUUCUUAUCCUCAUUCCAGAAUUUUUUUUUUUAUAUUUUUCUUGUUCCUUGCACAUCCCAUUUUCAAUUGAGGACAGUUGUUACAGUACUUUGCAAUUGAAGAAAGGAGGUGGUAUUUUAUUUUUUUUUUUUAUCUUUGAUUAGAAAAGCAAGGUGUGUUGUCAUGUCACGGUUGGCAUUCAUUUUUCUUGGAGCUACAAGUGUUAUAUCACCUUAUUUGGAAGCUCUUUCAUCUCAUUAAUGUGAUGUGACAAGUUCCGUUUAGGUUUUAUGGAUUUUUGGAGGAAGCACAUUUUUUUUUCUCUUGGAUAGAAGCACACGCUGCCACCUAGAUAGCAAUGGUGAUUAAUUGAGAGAUGAAUCAUGUUCCACGUGGAGAGCUCCAAAGCUAUUAUGGUGCCUUUUACCGUUUAUAUUUUAUUUCCUUUUAGUACUCUUAAUGCAUUUCAAUGUUUACCAUUAGGCUUUUUUUUUAAUACAAUAAGCAUUUAACUUUUAACUUAGUAGUUGCAUUUAAAGUGUUUUCAUGGAAUUGGCAUCGAAGAAUUAAUUCUAUUAUACUAAGUUUUAAAUUGGUGACGCGUUAAAAUUCAAAAGCAUUAUAGGCGUUUAAGUUUUUAUUCUUCGCUGCAUUGUGCUUCCAUUUAGUUUUAAUUAUGUUUGAAUAUUUAGCUAUUGUAUUGUUCGGUUUAUUGUUUUUGUCCACUU
rnacentral:lncRNA from 1 species